rnacentral:rRNA from 1 species
AUUGAACGCUGGCGGCAGGCUUAACACAUGCAAGUCGAGCGGAGAUGAGGUGCUUGCACCUUAUCUUAGCGGCGGACGGGUGAGUAAUGCUUAGGAAUCUACCUAUUAGUGGGGGACAACAUUCCGAAAGGAAUGCUAAUACCGCAUACGUCCUACGGGAGAAAGCAGGGGAUCUUCGGACCUUGCGCUAAUAGAUGAGCCUAAGUCGGAUUAGCUAGUUGGUGGGGUAAAGACCUACCAAGGCGACGAUCUGUAGCGGGUCUGAGAGGAUGAUCCUCAACACUGGGACUGAGACACAGCCCAGACUCCUACGGGAGGCAGCAGUGGGGAAUAUUGGACAAUGGGGGGAACCCUGAUCCGGCCAUGCCGCGUGUGUGAAGAAGGCCUUAUGGUUGUAGAGCACUUUAAGCGAGGAGGAGGCUACUGAGACUAAUACUCUUGGAUAGUGGACGUUACUCGCAGAAUAAGCACCGGCUAACUCUGUGCCAGCAGCCGCGGUAA